CCUACGGGAGGCUGCAGUGAGGAAUAUUGGUCAAUGGACGAGAGUCUGAACCAGCCAAGUAGCGUGAAGGAUGACUGCCCUAUGGGUUGUAAACUUCUUUUAUAAAGGAAUAAAACGAGGCACGUGUGCCUUUUUGCAUGUACUUUAUGAAUAAGGAACGGCUAACUCCGUGCCAGCAGCCGCGGUAAUACGGAGGAUCCGCGCGUUAUCCGGAUUUAUUGGGUUUAAAGGGAGCGUAGAUGGGUUGUUAAGUCAGUUGUGAAAGGUUGCGGCUCAACCAUAAAAUUGCAAUUGAUACUGGCAGUCUUGAGUACAGUUGAGGUAGGCGGAAUUCGUGGUGUAGCGGUGAAAUGCUUAGAUAUCACGAAGAACCCCGAUUGCGAAGGCAGCUUACUAAACUGUGACUGACAUUGAUGCUCGAAAGUGUGGGUAUCAAACAGGAUUAGAUACCCCAGUAGUC
rnacentral:rRNA from 1 species